UCUAAUAAAAAAGAAAAGAAAAAGAACCGUGUGGUCUAGUGAUAAUGAACUGUCUGUAAAGCAUAUAUAGAUUAUAUACAGAGAGAUACUUGCCACAAAAUGGAUUAAAUACACAUAUAUAAAUACAUAUGAAAAAAAUAAUUAUCAUAUGGUGACUUUACCAGCAUAUCAAAAUUGAAUCUGACACGAUUUGAUUUAAAAUAUGUGAUAUCAAGGCCAUCUUGUUUCCAGAGAGAAAAUUCUGAUACCAUGGAAACAUUUUUAUUGACCCAGUUUUGUUUCUGCAUUGAGCUGCAGGGAGGAGGAAAUGCAAACACCAGAGAUCAAGAAAAAGGGAGACAAAAUCAUUUCUCUUUCUGUUUUCUGUUUUGUAUUUCUGUGUUUCCUACACUACCUCAAAGUCUAAUGUCAUAAUUUUUUAUUUUCUUGAGAGUGUCAAAUGAUGACUAAGGAUUAGCAACUCAAACCAUUUUAUUUACAAUCAAUAUACACAAGCUCCAUUCACACACACACACACACACACACACACACAUUUAUCACAUGUGCUUUUUUCCUUAAAUCCAAAAGUUUGUACUAAUAAUAUAACAAGCACCAUCAACUGGACCUCUACACCAUCUUCCCAUCUUUCUUUUAUUGAUAAAUCUUACAUACUCCCAGAUCCAUAUGCGGACACUCAGCCAGAGCGCCUUGCUUGCAUUUAGCUGUGCCACUGUGACUGAACAUCCACUACAGCAAUGUGAGUAGCAGUGAUUCUUUUUUUUUUUUUUUUUUUUUGACAGGCAGAGUGGACAGUGAGAGAGAGAGAGAAAGGUCUUCCUUUGCCGUUGGUUCACCCUCCAAUGGCCACCGCAGCCGACACGCUGCGGCUGGCGCACCGCGCUGGUCCAAUGGCAGGAGCCAGGUACUUCUCCUGGUCUCCCAUGGGGUGCAGGGCCCAAGCACUUGGGCCAUCCUCCACUGCCCUCCCAGGCCACAGCAGAGAGCUGGCCUGGAAGAGGGGCAACCGGGACAGAAUCUGGCGCCCCGACCGGGACUAGAACCUGGUGUGCCGGCGCCGCAAGGCGGAGGAUUAGCCUAGUGAGCUGCGGCGCCGGCCAGCAGUAAUUCUUGCUGGGCCUUCAGUUCCUCUUUACUGGUCUACAGGGAUGCUGGAGUACAUAGCUACAUUCUAGCAAAGUUAGUGACAUACUGAGACUUCCAAGAGUGAGCAUACAAUCUUUCCCUGAGUGACAUCAAGAAACAGAUACUACAUACAAAAAACCAUUUUAUUUGAGUUCAUUUAUUUGGGAACCUCUGUUAUAACAACUUAGCUGGUGUUCCUGCUACAAAUAUCAAACUAUAAAAUGCCAACCUGUCAUAGUACUAUAUUAGGAGGGGUACACAGUUCUGAGGUCUUAAACACAUAUUUUUAACCUACUUUAUCUUACUCUUAUAUACUUUUUCAUUAUUACUUGACAGGCAGAGAGACAAAGAGAGAUGCAGACAGUGAGAUUUUUAUUCUGAUAGUUGAUUUCCAAAAUGCCUGCAAUAGCCAGGCUAGGAUGGGGCUGGAGCCAGGAGCCAGGAAUGCAAUCCAGGUAUCCCACACGGGACGCAAGAACCCACUUACUUGAGCCAUCCCUACUGCCUCCCAGGGUCUGCAUCUGAAAGAAGCUAGAGUCAUAAGCCAGAGCCUGGAAUUGAACCCAGUUAUUCUGAUGUGGUAUACAGCAUUUUUAAAUUUUUUAAAAUUUUAUUUAAGUUACACAAAUUUCAUAUGUACAGAUUCAGGAAUAUAGCAAUAGUUUCCACUUUAUUCUUCCAACCAACAUUCACAUCCUUCUUCCUCCUCCAUCUCAUAUUGCCAUUCUCAUUUUUUACAAAGACCGGUUUUAAGUUAACUUUAUACUAAUGAUUAACACUACACCAAGUAAAGAGUUCAACAAAUAGCAUGAAGAAAAAAAAAAAAAACUGUUCUUCAACAGCAGAGACAAAGGCUAUCAAAAAUCAUUGCAUCCCAGUCGGGGCGCCGGAUUCUGUCCCGGUUGCCCCUCUUCCAGGCCAGCUCUCUGCUGUGGCCCAGAGUGCAGUGGAGGAUGGCCCAAGUGCUUGGGCUCUGCACCCGCAUGGGAGACCAGGAGAAGCACCUGGCUCCUGGCUUCAGAUCAGCGCGGUGCACCGACCGCAGCUUGCCAGCUGCAGCGGCCAUUGUGGGGGGUGGUGAACCAACGGAAAAAGGAAGACCUUUCUAUAUCUUUCUCUCACUGUCCACUCUGCCUGUCAAAAAAAAAAAAACAUCACAUCUCAAAGUAUCAAUUCCAUUCCUAUAGAUUACCUUUUGGGUACUCAAUUAGUUACCACAGAUCAGGGAGAGCAUAUGGUAUUUGUCUAUUGGGUACUGGCUAAUUUCUCUAAGUAUAAUGGUUUCCAGUUGCAUAUAUUUUGUUGAAAAAGACAGAAUUUCAUUUUUUAACCACUUGUGUAAUAUUCCACAGUGUAUAUAUAUUGUAAUUUCUUAAUCCAGUCUUCAACUGAUAGACAUUUUGGUUGAUUCCAUAUCUUAGCUCUUGUGAAUUGAGCUGCAAUUAAUCUGUGGGUAAGAUCACUCUAUCAUAUGCUGCUUUUUUUAUUUGGGUUAAUUCCCAAGAGUGGAAUAGAUGGAUCAUAUGGUAGGUUUAUGUUCAGAUUUCUGAGGUAUCUCCAUACCAUCUUCCGUAGUCGCUGCAUCAGUUUACAUUUCCACCAAUAGCAAAUUAGGGUACCUUUUUUCUCCACAUCCUCACCAGCAUUUGUUGUUUAUUGAUUUCUGAAUGAGAGCAAUUAUAACUGGUGUGAGGCGAAACCUCAUAUUUGAUUUUGAUCAGCACUUCCCUGAUGGCUAAUAAUCCUGAGCAUUUUUUCAUAUGUCCAUUGGCCAGUUGAAGUUUCUCUUUUGAAAAACGCCUAUUCAAGUCAUUUGCCUAUUUCUUAACUGAAUUGUUUUGUUGUUGUUGAGUUUCUUGAGCUCUUUAUAGAUUCUGGAUAUUAAUCUUUUCUCAGUUGCAUAGUUUGUGAAUAUUUUCUACCAUUCUGGUGGUUACCUCUUCACUUUGUUCAGUGUUUCUUUUGCAGUGCAGAAGCAUCUCAGCUUGAUGUAAUCCCAUUUGUCAAUUUUGGCUUUGAUUGUCUGUGCUUCUAGGAUCUUUUCCAAGAUUUUUUUUGCCUAUGCCAAUGUCUUGAAGAAUUUCCCCUAUGUUCUCUAGUAAGUUGAUGGUAUCAGGUUGUAGAUUUAGGUCUUUGAGCCAGCGCCGUGGCUCAAUAGGCUAAUCCACCUUGCAGCGCCAGCACCCGGGGUUCUAGUCCCAGUCAGGGCGCCGGAUUCUGUCCUGGUUGCCCCUCUUCCAGUCCAGCUGUCUGCUGUGGCCCAGAAGUGCAGUGGAAGUGCAAGAGUUUGGGGCCUGCACCCACAUGGGAGACCAGGAGAAACACCUGGCUCCUGACUUUGGAUCAGUGCUGUGCGCCAGCUGUAGUGGCCAUUGGAGGGUGAACCAAUGGUAAAGGAAGACCUUUCUCUCUGUGUCUCUCUCUCUCACUGUCCACUCUGCCUGUCAAAAAAAAAAAAGAUUUAGGUCUUUGAUCCAUUUUGAGUGGAUUUUUGUGUAAGGAGUAAGGUAAGGGUCUUGUCUCAUACUUCUGCACAUGGAGAUCCAGUUUUUCCAGCACAAUUUGUUGAAGAAACUGUCCUUUCUCCAUGGAUUGAUUUUAGCUUCUUUGUCAAAAUAAGUUGGUUAUAGGUGUGUGGAUGGAUUUCUGGAGUUUCCAUUCUGCUCUGUUGGUGUAUAAGUCUGUUUUCAUGCCAGUUCCAAGCUAUUUUGAUUAUACCUGUCCUGUAGUAUGUCUUAAAAUCAGGUAUUGUGAUGCUUCUGGCUUUGUUUUUGUUGUAUAAGAUUUUUUUUGCUAUUCAGGGUCUCUUGUGUUUCCAUAUGAACUUUAACAACAUUUUUAAUAGAGCUGAGAAGAAUAUCUUUGGUGUUUUGAUUGGGAUCAAAUUGAAUCUGUAAAUUGCUUUUGAUAGUAUGGACAUUUUGAUGAUAUUGAUUCUUCCAAUCCAGGAUCAUAGAAGAUUUUUCCAUUAUUUUUUUUGUCUUCUAUUUCUUUCCUUAGUGUUUUGUAAUUUUCGUUGUAGAAACCUUUGGUGUUCUUGGUUAAAUUUAUUCCAAGGUAUUUAAUUGUUUUUGCAUCAGUUAAGAAUGGGUUGAUCUUGCAAGUUCUUUCUCAGCCAUGGCAUUGUCUGUGUAUACAAAACUUCCUGACUUUUUGUGUUAAUUUCAUAUCCUACAACUUCACCAAACUCUUUCAUGAGUCUCUUGGAUCAUUUAUGAGUAUUUUGGGUCUCCUAUGUAUAUAUAGAAUCACAUCAUCUGCAAAUAGGAAUAGUUUGACUUUUUCCUUUUCAAUUAGUAUCCCUUUGAUUUCUUUUUUUUCUUGCCUAAUGGCUCUGGAUAGAUGUUCCAGGACUAUACUGAAUAGCAAUGGUUAGAGUGGCAUCCCUGUCUAGUUCCGGAUCUUAGUGUGAAUGUUGCCACAUUUUCUCUUUCAGUAAGAUUCUGGCUGUUGGUUUGUCAGAAAUUUCCUUGAUUCUCCUGAAGAAUGUUCCUUUUAUAAUCAAUUUGCUUAAGGUUUUCAUCAUGAAAGAAUGUUAUAUCUUAUCAAAUGCCUCUUCUGUGUCUAUGGAGAUAUUCAUGGAGUUUUUGAUCUUCAGUUUGUUAAUGUGGUAUAUCACAUUUAUUGAUUUCUGAAUGUCAAGCCAUCCCUGCAUACCAGGGAUAAAUCCCACUGAAUUUAUUGGUUCAGGUGAAUUAUCUUUCUGGUGUGUUUUUGGAUUCAAUUAGCUAGUAUUUUGUUGAGGACUUUUGCAUCAAUUCUCAUAAGAAAUAUCAAUUGAUCCGCAGUUCUCUUUCUCUGUUGUAUCUUUUUCUGGUUUAGGAAUUAAGGUCAUGCUGACUUCAUAGAGGAGGUGAUGGUGUGACAACACCAACAGAGGUGACCAUAACCCACCCUUUUAUAAAAAAGAAGAGAUCUAACACACCCAACUUGGGUGUCACCCUGGAUCCUCACCUUACCCUGGAGCACUGAACAGAGCUCCAUGGUCACACCCAACAUGCACUUCUGAGUAUUCACUGAAGAGCAGACAUUCUUGUAAGCCACAGAGGAAUAGUUCAAAGAUAUAAGCUACUAAAGGAGUAAACUAAAAAUAUCUCCACAAAUGCCUAAAAAUAAAUGCAAAAAAUUCAAGAAACUAGAUUAAGGAAGACAAAAUGGCCUCCCAAAAGGAAUACAACAGUGCUUUAAAUUAGAAUGUGAUGAUGGGGGCCGAUGCGGUGGCGCAGUAGGUUAAUCCUCCACCUGAGGUGCCAGCAUCCCAUAUGGGUGCUGGUUCUAGUGCUGACUGCUCCUCUUCCCAUCCAGCUCUUAGCUAUGGCCUGGGAAAGCAGUAGAAUAUGGCCCAAGUCCUUGGGCCCCUGCACCAGUGUGGAAGGCCCAGAAGAAGCUUCUGGCUCCUAGCUUCAGAUCAGCACAUAUCCAGCUGUUGUGGCCAUUUGGGGAGUGAAUCAACAGAUGGAAGACCUGUCUCUCUGUCUCUCCCUCUCACUGUCUGUAACUCUACCUCUCAAAUAAAUAAACAAAUCUUUAAAAAACUGUGAUGAUGAAGAGAUUGUUGAAAUGCCUGAAAUGGAAUUCAAAAGAGUAAUCAUAGGGUUACUCAGAAGCAAUGAGAAGAAAAUCAGAAAUUAUAGAAAUCCAUACAGGACAUGAAUGGAAACUUUUCUUAUGAAAUAGACAUCUUGAAGAGAAAUCAAAAUGAAAUAUUAGAAAUGAAGAAUUCAAUAGAUUGAAUUAAAAAUCAGUGGAAAGACUUAACAAAAGAUUUUUAAGGCAGAUGAAUAACCAAGAAAGACGACAACUCUUGAAAUAUUACAGUAAGAAAGUAAGAAGAAGAAAUUAGAACAAGUCAAAACAUCAUUGGAGAUUUAUGGGAUACUAUUAAAUGACCCAAUAUACAGGUAAUAGGAUUCCCUGAAGAUGUGGAAACAGAGAAUCGACUAGAAGGCCUAUUUAGUGAAAUAAUUACAAACACUCCCCCAGUUUGGAGAAAGAAAGGAAUGUCCAAGUACAGGAGGCACAAAGAACUCCUAACAGGCAUAACCAAAAGAUCUUCAUCCCAAUGCAUUGUAGUCAAACUUUCAAUGGUAAAACAUAAAGAAAGGAUUCUAAAAUAUGAAUGACAGAAAGACCAGAUUUCUUUCAGAGGAUCUCCAAAUAGGCUCACACCUGGCUUAUCAGAGACUCUACAGGCUAAUAGAGAAUGGUGAAACAUAUUCCAAAUAUUAAGAGAAAAUAAAUCUGUCAACUCAGAAUACUCUGCAAAGCUCUCAUUUGUGAAUGAAGGUGAAAUAAAGACCUUCCAUAAGAAACAGAAAUUGGGCUGGCGCCGCGGCUCACUAGGCUAAUCCUCCGCCUAGCGGCGCCGGCACACCGGGUUCUAGUCCCGGUCGGGGCGCCGGAUUCUGUCCCGGUUGCCCUUCUUCCAGGCCAGCCCUCUGCUGUGGCCAGGGAGUGCAGUGGAGGAUGGCCCAGGUGCUUGGGCCCUGCACCCCAUGGGAGACCAGGAAAAGCACCUGGCUCCUGGCUCCUGCCAUCGGAUCAGCGCGGUGCGCCGGCCGCAGCGCGCCGGCCGCGGCGGCCAUUGGAGGGUGAACCAACGGCAAAGGAAGACCUUUCUCUCUGUCUCUCUCUCUCACUGUCCACUCUGCCUGUCAAAAAUAAAAAAAAUAAAUAAAAAAAUAAAAAAAAAAGAAACAGAAAUUGAAAGAAUUUGUCACAACUUGUUCAGCCUUACAAAGAUGCUUAAGGAUGUGCCACACACAGAAAUACAGAAAGAUAGUCAUCAUUAUGAAAAAAUGUGAAAGCAGAAAAUUUCUCAGUAAAAGCACAAAGGAAAUUAAAAGUAAAAUAUGGAAAUAUUUAUGGAAAAAUAGCAGGGCCAAGUCAUUAUUUAUUAAUGGUAACCUUGAAUAUAAAUGGCCUCAACUCUCCAGUUAAAUGAGACAGACUGGGGGCUGGCGCUGUGGCUCAAUAGGCUAAGCCUCCACCUUGCGGCGCCGGCACACCGGGUUCUAGUCCCGGUUGGGGCACCAGAUUCUGUCCCGCCGGCCGCGGUGGCCAUUGGAGGGUAAACCAACGGCAAAGGAAGACCUUUCUCUCUGUCUCUCUCUCUCGCUGUCCACUCUGCCUGUCCAAAAAAAAAAAAUGAUAUAGACUGGAUGAAUGGAUUAAAAACCAAUAUCAUUUAUUUGCUGCCUACAAGGAACACACUCCGUCAACAAAGACAGACACAGACUGAAAGUGAAAGGAUAGAAAAAGAUAUUAAACGCUAAUGGAAAGCAAAAAUGAGCAGGUGUAACCAUCUUACUAUCAGACAAAGUAAAACUGAAUAGCUUCCAAAUUUUAGCAAUUAUGAAUAAAGUUGAUUUAAACAGCAAUAUGUAAGCUUUAGUGUUGAUGUGUUUUCAACUUUUCUGGGUAAAUAUCAUGGACUACUAUCAUGGGUCAAAUGGUAGGAGUAGAUUUAGCUUUUUGAAACACUGACAAAUUGUCUUCCAAAGUGGCUAUACCAUUUUCCAUUCUACUUGACAAUGAAUGAUAGUUUCUCUUACUCUAAAUCUUGAUUAGUAUCUAGUCUUGUCAGUUUCCUGGAUUGUGGUUAAUCUCAUAGGUAUGUAGUUGUGUCUCCUCAUUGUUUUAAUUUAUGGUUCUCCAAUUACACAUGCUACGGAGGAUCUUUCCAAUAUGCUUUUCGGCCAUCUGUACAUAAUUUUGACACUGUGUCUAUUAAGGUAAUUGACCCAUUAAGUUUUUUUAAAAAUUCAUUUAAUUUAAAAGGCAGAUGUGAAGAGGAAGAGAAAGAUUAAGAAUGAAGGCAGGAAGAGAGGGCUUUUUCAUCUACAGGUUCACUCCUCAAAUGUCCACAACACCUGGGCUUAGGCAAGACCAAAGUCAGGAGCUUAGAAUUCAACCUGACUCUCCCAUGUGUGUGGCAGAGACCCAACCACUUGAAUGAUCACUUCCUGCCUCUCAUAUUAUGCAUUACAUUAGCAUCAAGAUGGACUCAGAAGCUGACCUAGCACUCAAACCUUGGUAUGCCAGUAUGAGAUUCAAGUGUCCCAAGCAAAGCCUUAACCUCUGUGUCAAAUACCUGCCUCCUAUUUCUUAGGUUUCUUUUUAUUUAUGUUGAGUUUUAAGCUUGUGUGUGUGUGUGUGUGUGUCUGCAUGUUUUGGAUAAUAGUCCUUUAUCAGGUAUGUCUUUUGCAAAUAUUUUCUCCCUGUCAGUGGCUUCUCCUUUUAUUCUCUUCACAAUUUCUUUCUCAGAGUAGAAAAUUAUAAUUUCAAAUUAACUUAUCAAUUCUUUCUUGCACAGUUCUUGCCUUUCAUGUUCUAUCUUGUAAAAAAAGUCAUAGCCAAAUCCUAAGUCAUUUAUAUUUUUCUCAUCUGCUGUCUUCUAGGUUUUUUUUAUAGUUUUAUGCUUCAGACAUAAUUCUGUGGUCUAUUUUGAGUUAAUUUCAGUGCAACAUGUAAGGUUUGUACCUAGAGUCAUUAUGUUGUAUGUAGGAUGUUCUCUUGUUUCAGCACCAUUUGUUGAGAAGACUAUCUUCACUCUAUUGCAGAUAUUGAACUUGAUUUGCAAGAGUAAAUCCCUGGAAUAACUUUUGACACCCAUUAUAAAAUACUCUGAAGCAUAGUCUGUGGUAUACCUCCUUCAUAACAGAGAGUAAGAGUGCAGAAUCUGCCUGAGGUUGUCUGGGUUUGAAAGCUUUGCCACUUGUCAUCUAGAAAAUCAGGUUUCUGAAGGCUGAGAAAACUGAAAGCCUUGAAGACUGAGAAACAGAUCUCAAUUUCAGAAACGAAAGUGACUAUCCAGGAGAUCAUAGCUGGGAACAGAGCCCGGCAGCCUUUCCCGAGGUGAGCACAUCCCCCUUGGUCCAAGUGCUGUCUGCACACUCAAUGCAGGUCAUGGCAUUUCUGCAAAAGACGUUACUGAUGUGUUUUCUACCAGUACGUUUUUUCGUUCUAGGCAUACACUAAGUCACUGGCUUGUCAACAUUAAACUGUAUAACAUCCAUUAGUCACUACAUCUGGCUAGUUAAAAAUGGACAUUUGAGUAGUCAUUUUUACAGUCACCAUCCAUUCAAUCACUUAGCCACACCCAUUUUUCAUGCGUAACCCUGUGCAUUCACUUUGAGAUAUUGGGAGAACCUUAUCAGAAUAUGAUUAUUUAUGUUCUUACUUCUUCCACUCUGGCUGCUCCCAUAUGAAUGAUGAGCAGUACACUACAGACUGACUCAUUCAUUUUACUCAUUUUAACACUCAAUGAGAGAGACUUCUCCCCCGGAAAAGCACAUGAGCUUUUUGAAGUUAUCUGAAUGCCCUUAUGUGGAUAUCAUCAUUUAACUUGUUUGCUAUUAUCUUGUUUUUUUUUUCUCAAUCUUAGUUCCAAUAACAACCAAUCUUACUCUUAUUUAUGCUUUAUAGAACUGCUUGUUUAUCCUUAUUGUUUAUUGGUGACUCAGAUUUACAAAUAUAGUCAUUUGAUGAAAAAAGAAGCUUAGAAAAGUUAAUUAUGUUAAGCUACCCAAUGAGAAAAUGAGAUGGAAUUUGAAACUUGAUCCAACGAUCUAUGAAAAUAUGAAUCAUGUAUUAGUUUAAACUUUAGGAUAGUGGGUCUUACAUUUUAAUGUACUUAAAAAUAAUUUGAGGCUGGUGCCACGGCUCACUAGGCUAAUCCUCCACCUUCGGCGCCGGCACCCUGGGUUCUGGUCCCGGUUGGGGCGCCAGUUCUGUCCCGGUUGCUCCUCUUCCAGUCCAGCUCUCUGCUGCGGCCCAGGAGUGCAGUGGAGGAUGGCCCAAGUGCUUGGGCCCUGCACCUGCAUGGGAGACCAGGAGGAAGCGCCUGGCUCCUGGCUUCGGAUUGGCGCAGCGUGCCAGCUGCAAGGCGCCGGCCGUAGCGGCCACUUGGGAGGUGAGCCAAAGGAAAAAGGAAGACCUUUCUUUCUGUCUCUCUCUCUCUCACUGUCUAACUCUGCCUGUCAAAAAAAAAAAAAAAAAUCAUUUGAGAACCUGAUAAGAUAUUGAACUAGUCCAAGUUUCCAGUUCCUUCUUUCCAAAACAACCAUGGUGAAACAACACAGAGAAACAAAGCUCAAAAAGUGGGCAACAUGAUUCUAAAAAUCUAACUAAAAUCUGUGACAAGCUUUUGGAGCAACAAAGGUGAGUUGAGGGUUAGGGUACAGACACAAAACCAGUAAGAUUUGUUAAAUAAAAGCUUUUAAACUAAGCCAAUUCAGUAGAAAAUAUUUUUUAAAAAAUAAUACAGUAAAAUAAAGUUAGGAAGUAGAUAGUAAAAAAGUGGAAAUGCCAAAACUGCGAUAAUAGAAGCAAGAGUGAAAAACAUAAGGCAACAAAGAAAUGUUCAAUGAAAUAAUGAAGACAAAUUUUGCUGAAUUAAAGAAGGAAGAAAGACUGUUGAAAGGCCUUGAAGAGACACAGGAACAAUAAGUAAAAAUUUACACCCAGCCAUAUUACAAAAUCUCAAAAUAUGCCAGAGGAGGUCCUGUGGUGUGGGAGAUUAAAACCCCUGUUUGGGACACCCCCUCCCAUAUUGGAAUGCCCUGGAGCAAUCAAGUCCCACCACUGUUUCCAAUCCAGAUUCCUGCGAAUGCGCACCCCUGGAGGCAGCAGCUGAUGGCCCAGGUACGAGUCCCUGCCACACAUGGUAGACCCUGGUGCGGGUUUUGGCUCCUGGAUUUUGCAUGGCCCAAUCACAGCUGUUGUAGGCAUUUUGAGAGUGAGCUACCAAAAGGAAGAUCUCUCUCUCUCUCUCACUUCCUCCCUCCCUACUCCCCUCCCUCCCUUCCUCUCACUUUAAAAUAAAAUUUGAAAAUUAAAUGUUUGAGAAAGCAUUUAAACUUUUCUGAAAGGACAGAAGGAAACUUAGGGUGAGAUUUCCUGGGCCAAAGACUAUGUUUCACAGUGCUAAUUGAUAUGACCAUAUUAUUCUCCAGAACUGCAUCAAUUCAUAUAUCCACAAAUAAAGAAUAAGAGAUCUUUCCCUACA